CCCUGCUUCACGUAAGGCUUAAAUCUACACCCAAAAUAUAUUGAUUCGUUUGUGUUGUAUGGCAUCAACAUAUACCUGAGAUUCUCUAAUAUCACAUAUCUGAAAUGUGAAACUGGUUUUAUUACGGGUAAUAUAAACUCGGCGAAUUUUAGCAGAACUGUUCUGCCGCCCACAAUAAAAAGGCGGUAUCUACAGAAAAUUCGAAAAUCGAGUAAUUUUUCUUGUUACUUAAUUCAUCUCCUUACAAAGUUAUUAGGCCGUAUCUAAAAUAAAAUCUGAAUUAAUCACUAAAAUUGUUUAGCCGUAUCUGCAAAAUUUACUACGCUUCUUAACGAUAACGUAACUAUCUGCAACAUGCUUAAUAAUUAGGCGGCAAGUGCUGACGUUAAGUACGCAGUUGCCGCGUUUUUAUUAGGCACAGUGUACUUCCCGCGGUUUUACUAAGAAUUGUCCGGUCAAUAUUGUCUGUACUUCAUCGUAUAUUCGCAGAAAUAAUGACAUCGAAACGAAUAUAUUUCCUGAUGAAAAUAGAAAAAACAGUUCAGGUUAUGUACAAACACAAAAGAAGAUGAAUCUUGUAUAAUUAGCAACGAUAAAGUAUCAAAUUGGUUAAAUCAUCUUCCUAAUUCUGAUAAUGAGUUUUUCUAUGAUGGUAACAUAGAACCUUUCACUGAGGAUAUCACCAAACCAAAUCAACUGAGUAAUAAAGAAAAUUUUAGUAAUCA